GAGUUUGAUCAUGGCUCAGAUUGAACGCUGGCGGAAUGCUUUACACAUGCAAGUCGAACGGCACCUUAGAGAGCUUGCUCUCUGAUGGCGAGUGGCGAACGGGUGAGUAUUAUAUCGGAACGUGCCUAGGAAUGGGGAAUAACUAGCUGAAAGGUUAGCUAAUGCCACAUACGACCUACAGGUGAAAGCAGGGGAUCUUCGGACCUUGCGUUAUUAGAGCGGCCGAUAUCUGAUUAGCUUGUUGGUGGGGUAAUGGCCUACCAAGGCGACGAUCAGUAGCUGGUCUGAGAGGACGAUCAGCCACACUGGAACUGAGACACGGUCCAGACUCCUACGGGAGGCAGCAGUGGGGAAUUUUGGACAAUGGGGGCAACCCUGAUCCAGGCCAUUCCGCGUGAGUGAAGAAGGCCUUCGGGUUGUAAGCUCUUUCGCAAGAGAAGAAAACUUGCUAUCUAAUAAAUAGUAAGUAUGACGGUAUCUUGACAAGAAGCCCCGGCUAAACUACGUGCCACCAGCCGCGGUAACACGUAGGGUGCAAGCGUUAAUCGGAAUUACUGGGUGUAAAGCGUGCGCAGGCAGUUUUAUAAGUCAGAUGUGAAAUCCCCGAGCUCAUCUUGAGAACUGCGUUUGAAACUGUAAGACUAGAGUGUGUCAGAGGGGGGUAGAAUUCCAAGUGUAGCAGUGACAUGCGUAGAGAUUUGGAGGAAUACCAAUGGCGAAGGCAGCCCCCUGGGAUAACACUGACGCUCAUGCACGAAAGCGUGGGGAGCAAACAGGAUUAGAUACCGUGGUAGUACACACCCUAAACGAUGUCUACUAGUUGUUGGUGGAGUAAAAUCCAUGAGUAACGCAGCUAACGCGUGAAGUAGACCGCCUGGGGAGUACGGUCGCAAGAUUAAAACUCAAAUGAAUUGACGGGGGCCCGCACAAGCGGUGGAUUAUGUGGAUUAAUUGGAUGCAACGCGAAAAACCUUACCUGGCCUUGACAUGUACCGAAUUUAGCAGAGAUGCUUUAUUGCUCGAAAGAGAACGGUAACACAGGUUCUGCAUGGCUGUCGUCAGCUGGUGUCGUGAGAUGUUGGGUUAAGUCCCGCAACGAGCGCAACCCUUCCCAUUAAUUGCCAUCAUUUAGUUGGGCACUUUAAUGGGACUGCCGGUGACAAACCGGAGGAAGGUGGGGAUGACGUCAAGUCCUCAUGGCCCUUAUGGCCAGGGCUUCACACGUAAUACAAUGGUCGGUACAGAGGGAAGCCAACCCGCGAGGGGGAGCCAAUUUCAGAAAGCCGGUCGUAGUCCGGAUUGUGGUCUGCAACUCGACAGCAUGAAGUCGGAAUCGCUGGUAAUCGCGGAUCAGCAUGUCGCGGUGAAUACGUUCCCGGGCCUUGUACACACCGCCCGUCACACCAUGGGAGUGGGUUUUACCAGAAGUAGUUAGUCUAUCCGCAAGGGGGCCGAUUACCACGGUAGGAUUCAUGACUGGGGUGAAGUCGUAACAAGGUAACC
rnacentral:rRNA from 1 species